ACCUAACUGGCUCAGUUGGUAGAGCAUGUGACUCUUGAUCUCAGGGUCAUGAGUUCAAGCCCCAUCCUGGGUG
rfam:Felis catus isolate Cinnamon breed Abyssinian chromosome A1, whole genome shotgun sequence.